GAUGAACGCUGGCGGCGUGCUUAACACAUGCAAGUCGAACGAUGAAGCCCAGCUUGCUGGGUGGAUUAGUGGCGAACGGGUGAGUAACACGUGAGUAACCUGCCCUUAACUCUGGGAUAAGCCUGGGAAACUGGGUCUAAUACCGGAUAGGAGCGUCCACCGCAUGGUGGGUGUUGGAAAGAUUUAUCGGUUUUGGAUGGACUCGCGGCCUAUCAGCUUGUUGGUGAGGUAAUGGCUCACCAAGGCGACGACGGGUAGCCGGCCUGAGAGGGUGACCGGCCACACUGGGACUGAGACACGGCCCAGACUCCUACGGGAGGCAGCAGUGGGGAAUAUUGCACAAUGGGCGCAAGCCUGAUGCAGCGACGCCGCGUGAGGGAUGACGGCCUUCGGGUUGUAAACCUCUUUCAGUAGGGAAGAAGCGAAAGUGACGGUACCUGCAGAAGAAGAACCGGCUAACUACGUG
rnacentral:rRNA from 1 species